GGAAUCUUCCACAAUGGACGAAAGUCUGAUGGAGCAACGCCGCGUGAGUGAAGAAGGUUUUCGGAUCGUAAAACUCUGUUGUUGGAGAAGAACACGUUUGAGAGUAACUGUUCAGACGUUGACGGUAUCCAACCAGAAAGCCACGGCUAACUACGUGCCAGCAGCCGCGGUAAUACGUAGGCGGCAAGCGUUGUCCGGAAUCAUUGGGCGUAAAGGGGGCGCAGGCGGGGACGCAGGUCCUUCCUGAAAGUUCGGGGCUCAGCCCCGUGAUGGGAAGGAAACCGUGUCUCUUGAGCGCGGGAGAGGGAAGCGGAAUUCCUGGUGUAGCGGUGAAAUGCGUAGAUAUCAGGAAGAACACCAGUGGCGAAGGCGGCUUCCUGGACCGCGGCUGACGCUGAGGCCCGAAAGCCAGGGGAGCGAACG
rnacentral:rRNA from 1 species